rnacentral:miRNA from 1 species
UACCUAUUGAUCACUUGGCUGUUUC